CCCUGGUUAGCCCAGUUAGUAGAGCGUUCCACUGGAAAUGGAGAGGUCCCGGGGAACGAUACCUGGACCAGGCG
rfam:Ixodes scapularis strain Wikel colony gcontig_1107728641506, whole genome shotgun sequence.